AGCUCAGUUGGUUAGAGCGUGGUGCUGGUAACACCAACGUCACGGGUUCGAUCCCCGU
rnacentral:tRNA from 1 species